AACGAACGCUGGCGGCAGGCUUAACACAUGCAAGUCGAACGGUUGUAGCAAUACAGCAGUGGCAGACGGGUGAGUAACACGUGGGAACCUUCCUAGGGGUACGGAACAACUCAGGGAAACUUGAGCUAAUACCGUAUACGUCCGUAAGGAGAAAGAUUUAUCGCCCUUAGACGGGCCCGCGUCGGACUAGCUAGUUGGUGGGGUAACGGCCUACCAAGGCGACGACCCGUAGCUGAUCUUAGAGGAUGAUCAGCCACACUGGGACUGAGACACGGCCCAGACUCCUACGGGAGGCAGCAGUGGGGAAUCUUGGACAAUGGGCGCAAGCCUGAUCCAGCCAUGCCGCGUGAGUGAAGAAGGUCUUCGGAUUGUAAAGCUAUUUUGCCAGGGACGAUAAUGACGGUACCUGGAGAAUAAGCCCCGGCAAACUUCGUGCCAGCCGCCGCAGUAA
rnacentral:rRNA from 1 species